rnacentral:rRNA from 1 species
GAUGAACGCUAGCUACAGGCUUAACACAUGCAAGUCGAGGGGAAACGACAUCGAAAGCUUGCUUUUGAUGGGCGUCGACCGGCGCACGGGUGAGUAACGCGUAUCCCACCUGCCCACCACUUGGGUAUAACCUUGCGAAAGUAAGACUAAUACCCAAUGACGUCUCUAGAAGACAUCUGAAAGAGAUUAAAGAUUUAUCGGUGAUGGAUGGGGAUGCGUCUGAUUAGCUUGUUGGCGGGGUAACGGCCUACCAAGGCGACGAUCAGUAGGGGUUCUGAGAGGAAGGUCCACCACAAUGGAAAUAAGACACGGUCCAAACUCGUACGGGAGGCAACAGUGAGGAAUAUUGGUCAAUGGACGAGAGUCGGAAACAGCCAAGUAGCGUGCAGGAUGACGGCCCUAUGGGUUGUAAGCUGCUUUUAUAAGGGAAUAAAGUGAGUCUCGAGACACUUUUUGCAGGUACCUUAUGAAUAAGGACCGGCUAAUUCCGUG